rfam:Myceliophthora thermophila ATCC 42464 chromosome 7, complete sequence.
GCCCGCAUGGCUUAGUGGUAGAGCGUGUCACUAGUAAUGACAAGGUCACUAGUUCGAUUCUGGUUGUGGGCA